CUAACAUAUGUGCGAGUGUUUUUGAAAGGGAAACGAUUGAAGUCAGUCGUACUUGCGGGCAAUCAGCCUUUUGGGUGUGAUUAUGUGGAGCGUGAGGAGUUAACCGCCUUCAUGUAUUGCAUAUUUGUGCUCUCGGGUGUACUUGUCUGUGUGGUAGGUUAACAUCAAUUUCGGUCGUCAUAAAAUGAUUGGAGAACGUAGCUUUGGUCUCGUAUCGAAGUGUUAUAGACUCUGGUAGAUGUGACGAUUGGGAUUGAGGAUUGCAACGGAUACCCGUUCGGGGCUACCUGUCUGGUCUCUGAUCGUUGCUCUGGUGCCGAAGCGUGCUUACGGUCA
rnacentral:rRNA from 1 species